UUUGUAUGAUGCUAUAAAUACGACAUAUGGGUUGAUCGGAGAAACACACACGAACUCGAAAAAGAAACAUCUCACCUCUCUGUUUUGCCUUUACAACUAUCCGCACGUUGCCGGAGAUCGGCGAUCAAACCGGAGAGCAUCCACAUCACUCAUACAGCCCCCUCGCUGUUGGAAGGUCGCCGGAACCAUCGCCAGAAACUCUGCCGUAGUUCGGAGCAUUCGCCGGAGAUUCACGACGGGAGUACGUCGACUCGCCUUCGAAACCCACGGCUAAACGUUCGGAUAAUCGCUUGGUUUGAUCUCUUGGAUUGUUUCAAAUCCUUACUCGUACGGCCUUACAAGAAGCGCAACGCAAUCAAUGUUGAAUGAUCAAGAAAACAAGAAUCGAGCGAGGAUGGAAAUUAGAAACCCAUUUAGCAUUUUGAUUAUUGUUGAAUUUCAUGUUUGUUUAUUUGGAACUAUUGUUAUGUUGUUUUGA
rnacentral:lncRNA from 1 species